UUCUCUGGCCCCAUUCCUUCCAUAUUUAUUUCAUAUGUGUGGAUCCAUUGUUACUGUCUUCAGACACAGCAGAAGAUGGCAUCGGGCAUCAGAUGCCCAUUACAGAUGGUUGUAAGUCACCAUGUGGUUGCUGGGAGUUGAACUCAGGACCUCUGGAAGAGCAGUUGGUGCUUUUUUUUAAAAAAAAGACUUAUUUAUUUAUUUAUUUAUUUAUUUAAUGUAUAUGGGUGCACUGUAGCUGUACAGAUGGUUGUGAGCCUUCAUGUGGUUGUUGGGAAUUGAAUUUUUAGGACCUCUGCUCACUCUGAUCAGCCCUACUUGCUCUGGUCCACUCCACUUGCUCAGGUACACUGUAGCUGCCUUCAGACGCACCAGAAGAGGGCGUCAAUUCUCAUUAUGGAUGGUUGUGAGCCACCAUAUGGUUGCUGGGAUUUGAACUCUUUGGAAGAGCAGUCAGUGCUCUUACCCACUGAGCCAUCUCACCAGCCCCCCAGUUGGUGCUCUUAACCACUGAGCCCGUAAGUGAACUUUCUUAAUGUUGAGGACUAAAACAGUUUUUAAGCAGUAGAUAUUUAGUGAAUAGUUUCAAUAAUAGAAAAUUUAGGUAUUUAUAAAUGCUAAUUUGAUUUUUAAAAAUGUAAAUAAAAUACUUUCGAAUGAAAUAUACUUUCUGCAUUAGUCUUUAUAAUGGAUGACCUCACUUCUAUUUCUUCCUUUUUGGUUUUUGAGACAGGGUCUCAUUAUGUAGCUUUGGCUAGCUUGAUGCUUGUUGUAUAGACCAGGCUAGCCUCAAACUUACAGAGGAACACUUGCCUAUGCCUUCAGAGUGCUGGAUUUAAAGGCAUAUGCUACCAUACUUAUAUAACCUAUUCUAAAUCUAAAAUACUGGUUGAUAUGUUUAAGUGUUGAACUAACCAUGGCUUUUAGAUAUUUAUCAGCACAUUAAUAUAUUUACUAUAAAGCAGUACUAACAGUUCCAUAUGUAGCUUACUUAAAAUAAUACAUAAAAUAAAAAAAGUCAUUCCAAUUCAUAACUAGUGUGUAUGUAGUAUUAUCUGUAGGUGGUGUAUUUCCACAUGUUUGUAAAUUAAUGACCCCUGGAUUAUUACUAGAAUGAAAGCAUAAUCCAUAGAAGAAAAUAUUGGUACAUUAGACAUUAUCAAAACUAAAACCUUUGAAAACUUUUAGGGAGAUGAGAAGAUAGACUACAGGGUUGAGAAAGAUGGCUCUCAGAAAGAAUGCUUGAUGCAUAGGUAUGAGUUCAAGUUCCUAGCACCCAUGCAAGAACCUAUAGCUGCAAGUAUCUGUAACACCAGCAUAGAUGAAGAUGGAGACAGGCUUACAUCUGGAUCCCUGGAGUUCCUUGGCUAGCCCCUCUAGCCAAGUGAAAACAGGGAGCUUUAGUUCAGGUUCAGUGAGAAACCCUGUCUCAAGAGAAUAGAGAAAGGCUCUUGGAUCCUUUUGUACGCUAAGCAUGUGGAGGUAUGAGUCCAUAUACCAUUUACAUAACCACCGCCUACAGAUAAUACUGCAUACACACUAGUUAUGAAUUGGAAUGACUUUUUUAUUAUAUAUUAUGUGUGUUUGUAAGUUCAUGCAUGUUACAUCAUGCAUAUGAGAGUUCAAGGACAAAUU
rnacentral:lncRNA from 1 species